rnacentral:pre_miRNA from 2 species
UCUUAUGGAUGAGCAAAGAAAGUGGUUUCUUGAGAUGGAAUCUACUGCUGAAGUUGCUGUGAA